UGAAGGAGAUAAAUCGUGGUUCAAAUAUAAUCCCUUUCCUAUGCUCUCAUCCAAUGUCCCAGAUUUAACUUAUUCAUGCGUUACCCGAUCAUCUUCGAUAGAGUUAUUCGCAUCAUUUAAUCUCAUUCAUGCGGUGAAAGUCUCAGACGUUUCAUUCGUUGUCGUUCAAUGGAAUUGAAGGCCAGCCCUGAAUUCACUCACUGACCGUUUUUCUUCUUUGCAAUCAAUGGGAUUAAACCCACACAAUAUAUCUUUCCAGACGAUCCAAUAUAAUCACAGUUCAGUGGAAUUAUAAACCGCAUGAAGAAUAUGUUCAAUUGAUCCAUUAUAAUAUCAGGGAUUCUCCAGCCUCUCUCAGAACUGGGUUUUUUUUUUAUCGUAAAUUCAGGAUCAUGAUUACAUUUACCCGGGUUCUUUAAAGAUCGUUAGUUUAAUUCAUGGAUGUCUAACCAAAUUCUUAGUAACUCUGUAUGUAGAAUUACUAUCAAUUUCUGCAGAUUAAGAUGUGAAUUCGCUUAUGUCUAACUAAUCUCAAUUUUUCCUUAGGUUUGGAUCACAUAAAAAAAUAAAAAAACUUAGCAUUUUGGUAUAGUACGAACUUGGGAUGGACUUAUGGUGUUAACAUACCAAAAUCUAAUUCCAGCAUUUUAUGAGUAUAUCUUUAUUUUCAGUAAUAUGCAACAUGGUAAAAGCGCAAUAACAAAACACUUGGAUAUCGUUGUGAUGAUGAAACUCGUUACCCAUUCUGAAUCAUCAAAUUGAAGAACUUGAUAUGUUUGGUAAAAGCGCCAUAACAAAGUCAUUUAGUUGUUAUUUAGUAGUAAAAUGACAGUUCCCAGAAGUAUUAGCUCCGGGUUUAACUGCACCACUUUAGCUGAUAUGUUUGUGUAGGUAUUAGAUCUUUAUUUAGGUUGUGGCCAGGGUGUGUAUCAACUCCAAGACUCCCAGUGACCUUAACGUCUGGAUCUUUUUGGAAUCAAAGUACAGCUGAACCCAUGGGUUUGGAAUUAAGCGAUUCCAGUUCUGCAAUACUGAUAGCUCUUUAAGCCAGUUAAUUUAGUUUUCUCUUAAGAGGCACUAGGUGAGUUUCACUGCUUUUCUAUUUGUUUUUAAUACUAAAAGAAGGAAAGUUGUUCUGGGAGUAUAAUAUUUUCGUAUUCGAAAGGCAGGAUUCUGCUACUUUGGUUGUGAAGGCGUGCACCAUACUUUCAUCCUCCCUAUAAAUGUUUGAAUUUCGUAAAUGUAAAGUUUAUUUUCAUUUUUGUUGAAUUGUUUCCAACUCUUAUCAAAUGUGAUGUGUAACUCAUGAUAUAAUAUUGAUUGUUGUUUUUAUUCUUUGAAUCUUAAUAUAUCCAUCAUGUGAAACACUUCUACAGGAAUAACAACCAGAUGGAUUAGCUUUGCAUUCUUGAUGAGUACCGAUGGGAACUUUGGGAAUUCAUUCAGUCAUGGAUCAUAUGACGGUACUUGGAAAUCAUCAAUUCUCUUGCCUUUUUUCCCCUCAUUUUGUUACUUGGCUACCCACUGCUUAAUUAAGUGAUCGUAGAUGAAGCUUCUAAUGGAUGCAAGUAUGCCAUUAUUUAGUUUUUCAUUCUACGAAGAUAUUCAUCCCAUUGUGACGAGUGAGACGAGAUAUUUUUCUCUUUCUCCAAUGUUAAACAUGGUUGAACAUACCUCAUAACAAGAAUUCCUAAUGUUUUCUUCAGGUCUUAUAUAUUUGAUGAUAUGCACAAUAUUUGUUAAAGCCUUUUAAUUUAUAUCCGAUAUGGACCUCUGGCUGUUCUAGGUAAUGGUCGGUCCACACUUUACAGUCAUCCACAAGAAUCGUGGUUGCAUUUUAAGAUUAAUAAGGUAUCAAAAAUAGUAUUUGAAGUUCUUUUAGACCUUACUGUGUUUUGCCUUUUUAAAUCUCUUUAAAAUUAAGCUUGAUUGUUGAUUCUAUAGUAACACUUAUAAACUUCACCAUUUUUAAUUUAGACGAGGUGGGGAGAAAAUAGGACUUCAAAUGAAGGACUCUGCAAGUGCUGAGUUGUUCAGAAUUCAGAUUCCAUGCUGCUUUGUCAAUAUGGUUUUCUUGGUUUGUUUUUGGAAAGAGGUUUAUUUUUUUGUGGUGAUUUUUGAGGUGAACACUAAUUUUAUUGUAGUUUGCAUCCAGCCAUUCAAGUUUGAAGAAUGUUCUUUCAUGGCUCUAAUUUGGCUUCAAUUGAGAAGUUUAAUUUAUGUUGGUUUAAUGGUGUUUAACAGUCAACUAUUUACUUAGGCUGACGAAGUUCCAAAUCUUCAUUGUUCGCUUUAGCAUCUGUUAUUUGACUAAGCUCAUUGUCCAAUACGGUUCAUGAAAACUAUGGGAUUUGAUAGAGAAGAUAACCAUCAACCUGUGUAUAUUACAAUUGGGCUGCAAGUUUCAACACGGUUCAAUUGCAGAUCCUCGCUUUUAAGUUGGUGAACAAAUGACUUUUGCUUCAAAGAAUUCUGUAGAAGGGGGGCUGCCAUUAUCUAUAAAGAUGACCACAGUAGCAUCAAAGUUUGUACAACAACUUCUCAGCUGAAACGUCGAUACCUGGGCGGUCUUCAUUAUAUAUACAUAGAAGUUAAAUUGCCAUCACCACUUCGAAGAGCAAUCAAUUACCAUGCAUGGCCCUAACAAGAAAUGGACUUGGAUAACUGAAUGAGUAUAUUCUUACAAAACCUAUUAUGUGAGUGUAAAAGUUCUUUUCAAGCCUGAUUGUAGCUUCUAUACAAAAUGGUUUUGGAAACAAAAUUUGGAUGACAGUUUUUGGAUACUGAAGUUACACCAAAUUCAUUAAUGCGGUUCAUUCCAUCAUGCGAAAACAUUUGUAAUAACUGAACUGUCAUUUAUAACCCGAAUGUUGAUUCCCUAAACCAAUUUAUUGAUCAGAAUUUUGGAUACAUUUUUCAACUGAUAUUGGAAGGGGAAGAACCUUAGAUUGUUGACAAUAAUCACCAAUACCGCCUAUUACUUAUGGUACCUUUGAUCUCUAUUACUGAAAAUCUUAUUUUUGUAAUCAUUGAAGAACCCAAAAAUGGAAAAUUUG